GCUGGCGUAGCUCAAUGGCAGAGCAGCUGACUUGUAAUCAGCAGGUUGCGGGUUCAAGUCCCAUCGCCAGCU
rfam:Desulfovibrio mexicanus strain DSM 13116 genome assembly, contig: Ga0070557_101